CACGCACACACACACGCACACACACACGCACCCACACACGCACACACACACGCACACACACACGCACAGCGAUGGGUCAGUGGAAUGGAGUCCUCUCGCUCUUUCCUUUUGUAUCGAGCGGAUGAGAAACAAGUGCAAACAGGAUCCGCUCAGAUCGACAUUGAUCUGGUUUCUCUGCUUGUGACUCCGUGUUUGUGUCUGUUUGCCGUCAUCACUUUGUCUCACUGGGUGUGUGUUCCACACGCGUGUGCCUCACAAUCCCCACGUGUUCCUGCCCGUGCACGCAGGUGUGUGUUUGUGUGUUUUCAUUCCACUAAUGGCUAGGAGUGUGUGUGUGUGUGUGUGGUCACGGUUGUGCGUGUUAUGUUGUAUCAACGGAUGCAUGUGUGUAUUCCGUGAGUCUCUGUAGGCAACAAAUGAUUGUUGAAGGUCACAUCCAAUCAGGAGCAAGGCUGCCUGGAUAGAACGAGAUGCAUGGAGAUGUAUGCAGGGCAGGGAUUCAAACAUAUAUGUUUCAAUUCACAUAUAUGUUUAUAUGCACAUGAAUGUGUAUAUAUUAGUUUUUUGUUUGGUACUUCUGAUACCAAAUUGUAAUUUAAUCCAGUCAGAAGUUCGGACACUUUCUCACUUAUUCGAAUGAGAAAAUGUCCACAGAGAAGAUUAAAGCACGAGAGGGAACUUUCUGUACGCUGCCGCCACAAGAACUCACCACACAACGCGAUCAUCAGGGUUGCAUCUCUAGUUCAAAGUAUUCUGUGCAACUGUCAGGGAAUUGACAUUAAUAAUAACCCUUCUGGACUCGAUGUUUCUACCCAUUAGUGAACAAAGCAGCGAGGACUCGUACCAUGGUUUGAUAUUAAAUACUACAAUCCAAUUCUUCUAUAUAUAUAUUUCUUGUCUUAAUUGAUUCUCACUAAAGAAGCGUUUGCAGGUCGUCGCUCUGCUUCCCCGGAGGAGCAGGAUGAAGUUCUUUCACCCUGAACCUUCACGUUGUUGCUGGUGGUGACUUUGCAUUUGUCAGGUUUCUCUCGGCUUCCUGUCGUACAUUCAGUCUGAAGGCUCCUUCCUUCACGGAUUGUAAGUGUGGCUCCAUAUUUCUGCGUGAUUAAAUGUGUGUUUGCGUAGGAGGAGGAGGAAGAGGAGGAGGAGGAGGAAGAGGGAGGUCAUAACCCAUUACUCACAGCUCUCUGUGUUUACUCUCAUCUAAUAGGAAAAACAACAUUGAUGCUUCCACCACAUUAUAAAUCGAUAUAUUACUCAAACGAGUUAUAAAUCAGGCUGCCGUGGCUUCGCCGGAGCAAUGGACUCUUCUGCAUUGAUUCCUUCACAGAUUUAAUAACAGCGUAGAGGAUCACUGGGCUGCAAUGUGAAGUGGAUGUAAUCACACCUCGGCCCAUUAAACGGGCCUCUGGCCUGGUGCUCGGUCGGCUGCCGGCCUCCGGGGGCCUCCGGGGGCCUCGGCCUGUGAACACCAUCGUUGCUUGGUGCGCGUCCGGGACGUCCCCGAUAUCGCUGAUAACUCAAAUCCCCGGGAGGACGCGUUCUCGGCAUCGAGCGUCGACUCAAAAUACGCAAUCAUGUCGUGAUUUAAUAGAAAAUAAUCGGACGAAAAGGAUCGUUUUUGUGACGGUGUGCGAGGAAGUUCUUCCCCCUCGUUGUUCUCCUGGUAGCCUCUGGUCAAAACGCAACCAAGCCACUGAGUACGUGAACCGAUCCAAAUAUCACUAAAGUCAUCGACACAAGCGCUUAACGGAAUAACACAGCGGCAUUUGUGCUCAUGACUGAUCAGCGAUCUGACAUCCACAUGUGGCCGUGGCUCAAAUCUCAUCUCAUCUCUAAUGAGGAGAAACGUGUUCACGUGGAUCACAAGCAGAACGCAGAUGUUUCCCUCAGGAGGCGCGAUGACAACAACAACAACAACAACAACAAAACGAGGAGAAAACUGUCACUUCAAACAACGUAUGUGGAGAUAAUUAGCAAACCCAAACAUUUUGGACACCUCGCCAAUCGUCUUUCAUGUCGGUGUUCCAGAGAAGUGGAGACAGAUUGAGGGAUGCAGAUAGAUGGAGAGACUCACUCUGGAGGUCCAACGCUGCAACGCAGAUGCUGGUUUAUUAUGUUUCAUAUUGGAUCUUUUUAAAAUUUCACUCACUGAAAAGAGAUGAAUGUCUCUGCUUCAUUUCACAUAAAAGAUGUUUCAUUAGUCCGUGAAGAACGUCUGCGUUUUGUGUCUUGAAACAAAAGGUGGACGUGGAGCUUUAAGGUCGGCGAGGACACGUCGUCGCUAAUCUGAUUGGACGUCGAGUCUGUGAGUGUGAGGAAUCGGUUCCUUCCUCCCCGAGUAGCUGUGAAUGAACCCAAAGAUCAACAUGACAUCUUAAUUUCCCCAGCGUGUUUCUCUUCAAUCUCCGUCACUCGCCCUUUAUUCUGCCUUUAAGUCCCACUGUCGCUCUCGCUCUUUGUCUCUCACGCACUGAUUCGCAGUCUGUUUCCGUCCUGCCACUCAAACUGAAAACCACACGGCCGCCUGUCCGGCCAAGGCUCGAAGCUAACGGUGCUAACGGCACUUAUGGUGGCAACGGUGCUAACGGCGCUUAUGAAGGUAACGGUGCUAACGGCGCUUAUGGAGGUAACGGUGCUAACGACGUUUAUGGAGGUAACUGUGCUAAUGGCGCUUAUGAAGGUAACGGUGCUAACGGGACUUAUGGCGAUAACGGCGCUUAUGGAGGUAACAGUGCUAACGGCACUUAUUGAGGUAACGGUGCUAACAGGGCUUAUGGAGGUAACGGUGCUAACGGCACUUAUGGAGGUAACGGUGCUAACAGGGCUUAUGGAGGUAACGGUGCUAACGGCACUUAUGGAGGUAACGGCGCUUAUGGAGGUAACAGUGCUAACGGCACUUAUUGAGGUAACGGUGCUAACAGGGCUUAUGGAGGUAACGGUGCUAACGGCACUUAUGGAGGUAACGGUGCUAACGGCGCUUAUGAAGGUAACAGUUCGCCCGCUCAUCUCAUGUUUAAUGCGACUUCUCUGACUGAGCAGAGUUUAUUAAAUCAACGGUUCCUUGCGUCAAGGAGGCCCAUCAGGUCUGAAAGGAGAUCAGUAAUAAACCAAAUGGUAAUUGUGUUGCAUCUCCAUGCCAAUAACUACAGACACAAAAGACGCACAAAAAGCCGACCGAGAGACACACACCAGACAUAAAAAAUGACUGAAUGAAUUCAGAGGUCCAAACUUCUGUAAUAAUAUGCAUCAUGACUACGAGACGCUGUCUCCCUCCCACACUGUCUCUCGCCCUCUUUCUCUCUCUCAGACACAUUUUUCUGGGGGCGAACAAGUUUGCUGCCUUGCUCAAAGGCUUCUAAAGAAGUAAACCACCCACCUUCUGGUCCCUGGCUCCCAGUGGGAGAGAAACACUGAGGGGCGGUGGGGUGGGGGGCUCCCGGGCGACUCCGGAUGUCCAAUUUUUCAUGACUUUAUAAUUUGCAGAAUGUGGCAUUUGAGACUUCCUACGGGGGUGUUUUGUAUUCCCACCAUCACUCUCGCUCUGUGCGCGGUUCGAUUUUUAACAUUUGGCAGCAUAUUAUUCAAUGUGAGCGAAAACAGCGCUCAUAUUUAAUCAUGAACCAACUUCCUAUUCAUGCAAAUGAAUGUUCCACUCUGCUUCCUGCGUCUGAAAUAAAGACCCAUCUGUAUUUUUAUAAAGACGUCUCUGGGUGAAGUAUUCAUUUAUUAGCAUGAACUCACACACACACUGUCCUUCAUUUGGACUCAACACCGUCCUGCUGCCCCACAAACUCACUGAACAAUAAUCACAUCACGUCUGAGAGGAACCCGACGAAAACACCACGGCUCCCGUUUGAGAACUGCAGCGACCAGCGGCUGAAAAUAAGCCUUUUGAAAAAUAAAUAACAAGAUUGAGAUUACAAAUUUGAAUAAUUUCAAUGGAAAAAAAGACGGUUGAAGCUCAUUAAUGUGUCAGUUUUGUUAAAGCUACGAAUGGUAACUUUAGUAAAAAUACACAUUUGCUCACAUUUACUUCGUGAACUGGUCCUGAGAGCAUUACACUCCAGGUGUGAGGUCUCAACCCCGGCGUGGCAGCAGGAGGCCGCGUCCUCCGGAGCCAAUCAGCAGAAUUCUAAACAACUGCGAGGGAGGACGCGUCCCCCCGGAGCCAAUCACCGAAAUUCGGAACACCCACGAGAGGACCUAUAAGAGCAGGCCGACGCAGCGACUGAGUUGUGAGGUAUUAUGACUACGCGUCUUUGCUGAUCCCCUUUGUUUCGCUGCCCCUGAAUUCCCGCGUAUUGACCUUCCGCCUCUCGACCACGAACCUGCCUUCUCCCUGGACCAGGUCCAUCUUUUGCCAUCCCGUGUCCCCGAACCUCUGCCCGUCCCCGGAUUCCCCGUUUAGCCUCAUCCCUUGAGACUACAGUUGCCUGUCGUCCCUAAAUAAACAUUGAGCGCUGUGCUUUUGGGUCUGAGUCGGUCUGCAGAGUCCAUUCCUCACACCAGGGUUAGAACACUUGGGAUUAGAUGUCUCUUUGGGUCAUGAAUCAGAAAACACCAACGAGCAUGUUUUGCU
ensembl:lncRNA